rnacentral:rRNA from 1 species
GGAUGCGAUCAUACCAGCACUAAAGCACCAGAUCCCAUCAGAACUCCGAAGUUAAGCUUGCUUGGGCGAGAGUAGUACUAGGAUGGGUGACCUGCUGGGAAGUCCUCGGGUUGCAUUCC